rnacentral:lncRNA from 1 species
UCUGAAUCACUUCCUCUUCGUGUCGCAGGGAUCCCAUGCUACCAGGAAUUGCUGGGUUAAGAUGAUCCUGGACUCUUAAAAAUUCUGGGAAACAUCCAUAGAAGCUUGGUUUUUUCCAUCUUCUGUCUUGGGCUCAUUCCAACUUCAGUUCGUGGGGGAGUCAUGUCAAUAAGAUACAUGUGUAUAGUGGCCACCUCCUCCCACAAGAACAGCCAAGCAAAGAACCAACUGUCACAUUCGGACAAAACAACUAAAGGACAGUACCCAUGAACAUCAGAGGACUGGAACCACCUUGGACUCUUACAGGCUUGUCAAUAAGGGAACCUCUGUAGCCCUCAUAGGCAGUUGGCCCAGCAGAGAAAGCUGCCUGGGAUCUAACAGAUCCACUGUCUCCAAAGGAGGAGUUGGUGGUGUGCCCUGCAUCCCAUGGACAGUGUGGUUACAAUUCGGUGGCACCUUGGAACCAGAGCCCUAUUCUGGAGAUAGGAACGAUGGCAUACCUCCACCUCUGAGAAUUCAUCACUAUAGAAACAACCCCACCUGGUGGCCACCAUUCCUGCCACCAAACCACUACUUCACCAUAUUGCUUGUUGCUAAACUGCAUAGUCACUGCACUCCCAGCUGCUGUCACUCUUCGCCUGCCUUAGAUACAGUGGUGCCGAGCACCAAAAGUCUCCAACUGUAAAAUGGACUAACUCGAUUCUGUGUAAUUCUGCCGAAGUUCCUUCAUCUAGUUGAAUGCCCUACUGCUAAGCAACUAUAGAUACACAACUGACCACUGGGCAGAGCUCCUGAAAUCCAGUCCAAGAGAGGGAGGAGUGAUAACAGGAGCAAAGAGGUCAAGACCAUGUUGGGGAAAUCCACAGAAACAGCUGACCUGAGCUGGUGGGAGUUCAAUGACUCUGGACUGACAGCUGGGGAACCUGCAGAGGCUGACUUACUCUUGAAUACUGUGGUGGUUUAAAAGAAAAUGUCCCCCAAAGGAAGUGGCACUAAUGGGAGGUGUGGCCUUGUUGUAGUAGGUGUGGCCUUACUGGAGGAAGUGCAUCACUGUGGGUGCUGGCUUUGAGUUCUAUGCUCAAGCCAUGCCCAAUGAUACAGUUCACUUCCUGUUGCCUGUAUAUCAAUAUGUAGAAGUCUCAGCUCCCUCUCCAGCACUGUGUCUGCCUGCAUGCCGCCAUGCCAUGCCAUGAUGAUAAUGGACAAAACCUCUGAAACUGUAAGUUACUCGGUUAAAUAUUUUUCUUUAUAAAAGUUGCCAUGGUCAUGAUGUCUCUUCACGGCAAUAGAAACCAUAACUAAGACAACU